rnacentral:misc_RNA from 1 species
UUUCCGUAGGUGAACCUGCGGAAGGAUCAUUAUUGUAUAACCGAGGUGCGAGGGCUGUCGCUGACCCGACAGGUCGUGCACGCCCGAGUGCCCGCACACACAUCCAUCUCACCCCUAUGUGCACCACCGCGUGGGUCCCCCUUUGGCUUGUUCGGAGGGGGGCUUACGUGUUCACACAAACUUUGUAUGCAGUGUAGAAUGUAUUUUUUGUUUUUGAGAUCACGCAAUCAAUACAACUUUCAACAACGGAUCUCUUGGCUCUC